CACGUAGGGGGCAAGCGUUGUUCGGAAUUAUUGGGCGUAAAGGGCGUGUAGGCGGCUUUACAAGUCUGACGUGAAAGAUCUCGGCUUAACCGAGGGAACGCGUUGGAAACUGUGAGGCUUGAGUAUAGAAGGGGACAUUGGAAUUCCAGGUGUAGGGGUGAAAUCUGUAGAUAUCUGGAAGAACACCGGUGGCGAAGGCG
rnacentral:rRNA from 1 species